UACGUAGGUGACAAGCGUUGUCCGGAUUUACUGGGCGUAAAGAGCGCGCAGGCGGUCGUUCAAGUCGAGUGUGAAAGCCCCCGGCUCAACUGGGGAGGGUCAUUCGAUACUGAUCGACUCGAAGGCAGGAGAGGGAAGUGGAAUUCCCGGUGUAGUGGUGAAAUGCGUAGAUAUUCGCAAGAACACCAGUGGCGAAGGCGGCUCACUGGCCCGAUACUGACGCUGAGGCACGAAAGCGUGGGGAGCAAACAGG
rnacentral:rRNA from 1 species